rnacentral:lncRNA from 9 species
GAAUCCGCGAAUCGCGAACGGGCGAGGCUAACAGUACUUGGAACAAGAGAAACAUGAACUAAAGACGAUUUGAGAACCGAGAAGGGGAGUGGACAGGGCACGUGUCCUAGCUGAAGAGUCGUGUGAAACAACUCCAGGAUGAGUCAGAGAGGCAGCAGGUUCAUCUACAGGAAGCAGAUCGAGACAAGUCACGGGCUGUCCAGGAAUUAGCAGAACAGAACCAAAGGUUAUUGGAUCAACUCAGCAGGGGUCCAAUUUUCUCUCUUGUUCUCCAUUGCCCCUUGUCUGUGGACUUAUUGCCAGAAAUGGAACUGAGAAAAGCAAAAUAUCCUUAGAAGAAUGAAGCAGGGGGAGGAACUCCACAAGCAAAGUGUCACUUCUCUUGAGGAUGCUACAGAGGGGAGAGAUGUGAACACUUUGACAUGAAUAAAUGCUGUCCUUUCAUUGUGCUGAGAUCAUUGGGAGAAGUACCAAGU